rnacentral:rRNA from 1 species
UGGGGAAUCUUGGACAAUGGGCGCAACUGAUCCAGCCAUGCCGCGUGAGUGAAGAAGGCCUUAGGGUUGUAAAACUCUUUCGCCGGUGAAGAUAAUGACGGUAACCGGAGAAGAAGCCCCGGCUAACUUCGUG